CCCCUCUCAGGGUCGCACCUGGAGAGUUUUCAAUAUUCUACUAGUCUUGGCUACGGGAGGGAGAAUCGAACAGCGGCCUACCCAUUCCACUCCUAGCUUGGCCAGUGGCUAGCGAGUGGAAGGCAAUCUGCUUCAAGG